CGGACGGGUGAGUAACGCGUGAGGAACCUGCCUUUCAGUGGGGGACAACAGUUGGAAACGACUGCUAAUACCGCAUAACGUACUGGUAUCGCAUGGUACUGGUACCAAANAUUUAUCGCUGAGAGAUGGCCUCGCGUCUGAUUAGCUAGUUGGUAGGGUAACGGCCUACCAAGGCGACGAUCAGUAGCCGGACUGAGAGGUUGGCCGGCCACAUUGGGACUGAGACACGGUCCAGACACCUACGGGAGGCAGCAG
rnacentral:rRNA from 1 species